rnacentral:rRNA from 1 species
AAACUUUCAACAACGGAUCUCUUGGUUCUGGCAUCGAUGAAGAACGCAGCGAAAUGCGAUAAGUAAUGUGAAUUGCAGAAUUCAGUGAAUCAUCGAAUCUUUGAACGCACAUUGCGCCCUCUGGUAUUCCGGGGGGCAUGCCUAUUCGAGCUUCAUUA